rnacentral:rRNA from 1 species
UAAUACAGAGGGUGCGAGCGUUAUCCGGAAUUAUUGGGCGUAAAGCGUCCGCAGGCGGUUUAUUAAGUAGGAUAUUAAAGCCAAUAGCUCAACUAUUGUUCAGUAUCCUAAACUGAUAAGCUAGAGACUCAUAGAGGUAAGUGGAAUUCUGCAUGUAGGGGUAAAAUCCGUAGAUAUGCAGAGGAACACCAAAAGCGAAAGCAGCUUACUGGAUGAGAUCUGACGCUCAGGGACGAAAGCGUGGGGAGCAAACAGG